GACGAACCGUGCGAACGUUAUUCGGAAUCACUGGGCUUAAAGCGCGUGUAGGCGGACGGGGACGUCGGUCGCUGAAAUCCCCCGGCUCAACCGGGGAACGGGCGCCGAAACGCCCCGUCUCGAGGGACGUAGGGGGACCUGGAACUUCCGGUGGAGCGGUGAAAUGCGUUGAGAUCGGAAGGAACGCCCGUGGCGAAAGCGAGGUCCUGGACGCCUACUGACGCUGAGACGCGAAAGCCAGGGGAGCGAACGGG
rnacentral:rRNA from 1 species